GGAAGGAUCAUUACAGAAAGUAAACGCGGAUCACACCGCGAACUUCUAAACCUUUGACGAUUGACUCAUGUUGCCUCGGCGGGUUCUCCCGCCAGAGGAUACAUCAAAACUCCUGUUUUAACGGUGUUGUCUGAGCUACAAGCAACGAAUCAAAACUUUCAACAACGGAUCUCUUGGUUCUGGCAUCGAUGAAGAACGCAGCGAAAUGCGAUAAGUAGUGUGAAUUGCAGAAUUCAGUGAAUCAUCGAAUCUUUGAACGCACAUUGCGCCCCUUGGUAUCCCGAGGGGCAUGCCUGUUCGAGCGUCAUUUCACCACUCAAGCCUGGCUUGGUGUUGGGCGACGUCCCCUUCAGGGACGCGCCUCGAAACGCUCGGCGGCGUGGCAUCGGCUUUAAGCGUAGCAGAAUCUUUCGCUUCAAAAGUCGGGGCCCCGUCUGCCGGAAGACCUACUCGCAAGGUUGACCUCGGAUCAGGCAGG
rnacentral:misc_RNA from 1 species